AUUUCUUUCAAUUUAUAACACCUAUUUUGAUUAACUAGAGGGUAUUAAACAAGAUGAGCGAACAGAGUGACUGACUGACUAUUACAACGCAAUUGAAGUUCUGCUACCAACAGACAAACAAACAGAAAAGGAAAAAAGGAAAUAACUGAAGUUUAAUCGGUGAAGGUUGAGCUAUGGCUGAACGUCACGAACAGAAACGUAAGGUAGUGGAGAAGACAAAACUCGUUCUUGUUGGCAACACGGACGUGGGAAAGACUAGCCUCGCUGUCAGAUUUGCCACAAGUACAUUCGACAAAAAUCACGGGAGCACCAUUGGUGAUCCCGGACGACCCCCCAAUUUUCACUCCUGUCACGAACUGUCGGGUGUUGGUGCCUAGAACUCAGAAGCCGUAGGCGGGGGCAGUUCUCGUUUCCAUCAGAGAACAGCGUUUCUUCUUGUUUUGUUGUUGGUUGGUUGUUGUUUUGGUUGAAUGGGUUUUUUGUGUAUUUUUUUUUGUUUUUUCGGGUGUGUGUGUGUGUGAGUGCUUGUUUUGUUUUGUUAUUUAUGUG